rnacentral:lncRNA from 1 species
GUUUGGGCAUGUAUCAUAUUUUCCCUCCGGUUUAUAUGAUCCGUUCAUCCUAUAUAUUGACUCUUAAAAUUCAAGAGUUAAUCUAAAAAUGAGGGUACUUUUUAUAUGGCCUUCCAAAUACCGUUUCGAUCCCUAACAUCACUGAAGAGACAUUUAUUGUCGAAAUCCGGAUAUGGUGUACUAAAGAAAUAUUGACACCGAAUGUUUGUGGCACAACAUCCUGUCCACAAGUUAACAAUUUUUUUUUUCUGUG